UUUUUCUUUUUUCUUUUUCUUCUUUGCCCUAACCACUCCAAUAGAUGAUAUAUUUUCUUUCUUUCUUUCUUUUUUUGUUGUCUUUUUGCCAUUUCUUGGGCAGCUCCCGCGGCAUAUGGAGGUUCCCAGCCUAGGGGUCGAAUCGGAGGUGUAGCCACCGGCUUACACCAGAGCCAGAGCAACACGGGAUCUGAGCCUUGUCUGCAACCUAUACCACAGCUCACGGCAAUGCUGGAUCCUUAACCCACUGAGCCAGGGUUAGGGAUCUGGCAUUGCCGUGAGCUGCAGUGUAGGCUACAGACAUGGCUCGGAUCUGGCAUUGCUGUGGCUUAGCAUAGGCUGGCAGCUACAGCUCUAAUUCGACCCCUAGCCUGGGAACUUCCAUAUGCCACAGAUGUGACCCUAAAAAGAAAAAAAAUUCUUCAUUCCCUUUUCCUAUUAGAACAUAGGCCUAUAAGGACCCCAGCCCCUGCCUUUUUGUCUCUUGUUCAUGGCUACAUUUCUAGCAUCAAGAAAAAGUGUCUGUAAUAGAAUAAUGCUCAGUAAGUGCUCUGUAAGUGAAUGAAAUCAGAUUCCUCUCUGUACUUGUUUCUUCCUCUGUAAAAUGCUAAAAUAGUUCCUAUCACUUAAGGUUGUUAGGGGGAUUAAAUCACCCAGGGCAUGUAAAACACUUAGCGCAGUAUCUAGAAUGUAAUAAGCACAGAAGCAACAGAAACCAUUAUUAACUCCAUUUUUCAGAUAGGCAAACUGAGAUUUGGAGAAGUUAAAUGACUUUUCUAAAUCACACAGCAAAUAUAUCAAGCCUGAUCAGGAUCUGGCUUGACUUCCAUCUCAGUAUGUUUUUUAAAUAGAAAUAAUUCAAUACCUUAUUUUUAAAAUUAAUUAAUUUUUUGGCCACAUUCAAGGCAUGUGGAAGUUCCCAGGCCAGGGACUGAACUCAUGGCACAGCAGCAACCUAAGCCAUAGCAGUGACAAGGCUAGAUCCUUAAUCCACUGAGCCACCAGGGAACUCCGGAAAUUAUUCGGUAUCAUAACUGUCACCUUCUGUACAACAAACCGAUUGAAAAGUGCUUUGGAAUAAAAUGCCUAAUAAAAAUAACUACUGUUUAUUCAGUGUUUACAUGAGCCAUACAUAAACCUUUUCUGUUAAUACUCAUUAAGGACACUCUGAGAUCAAUUCUUUUAUCCUUAGGCUAUUGAUAGAAUUAUCAAUAGCAUAAUUUUAUCAACUAUCCUCAUACUACUGGUAAAACAUAGAGGCAGAGAUGAGCAAUAUGUGCUCUGUGUUAGUCACUUGACUGAGGUCCCAGUGCUACAAAGUAGCAGAGCUGGGAUGGCUCUGAGGUCCUUCAAUUCCAGGGCCCCUACCUGCCACACUGCCAGCUACACCCCAGCUUGGCACUGCUCUCUGACCUUUCCCUGCAGAGACCUUACAGGGGUGCACCAUAAGUUGACCAAGGGGUUUCUGGUUCUGAGUGAUUUGUGGAAGAACAGAAGAGUCUUGUGUGACCAGAAACCCCUGAAACAUCUCACACCAAGGAUCUGGUAGAAUAAUGGGAAUGUGCAAGGCAAAGAAGUGUUAUGCUCAAAGACUACAGGGCUCUCUGAAUUCUUUCUUUGUGUAUAAAAGCUUCUAUUCAUUGGGAUUUCAGACCAAAAAAAAGAAAAAUCCCUUUACUCUCUGUGCUUUGAAGCAUUUACAUCAUUGCUUCUCACAUUCCAAUAAUUCAGCAGAAACAGCUGUUCCACUAUCCUGGGCAAGAAGCCACAAACUGCAUUCCAAAGAAUGUGUUCCAUGACAUUAUUUAUUAAUUAAUGCUAUAGUUUCUGCCUUAUCAUAAAUGGAUAGGUGCCCGAAAUCAUAAAAAGAAAGAAAAAGUAUGUAUUUUCUCCAUUUCCCUUACCCAAAGCAACACCCGGAUGUUAUAUCUCUAUCUUCUAAAUGAACUAAGUUAUUCUCUCCAUUUUUCAAAUAAAUUCAUUAAGACUCCUUUCUUGUCUUUUGGUGGAAUAUAGACCAGAAACAUUUUUAUCAUUAAAACUGUUUUGUAAGCAAAAGUGAAAGACUUCUUUGGCUCAGGGAGUCAAAAAAAAAAAAAAAAAAAAAUCCAAGACUGUGAAAAUGGGAAAUGCCUUGCAUACAGAUUUUUAAAUUAUAAAUACUCAAAGUAAAAAAAAAUUCUGCACAGCUAGUGUCAGUCUAAUCACUGAAAACCUAAUCAGAUACCCAGGUCUUCUGAAUCACAGCAAAGCUGGUACAUCAUUAAUGCACUUAAUAACAUCUAAUCUUUGAAGUUUGCUCCUUACCUAUACAGCUGCAUCUAUAUAUUUAUUAGAUGAUAGAGAAUGCUUUAGGAGACUAUAUUUAGUUUAGAAAUAAAAUCCACAACAUAAGUAUAUUGGUUGUAUUUAGGAAUAAGGCCCCUAUUUUUCUGGAUUUUUAUGGUCAUCAAAAAAUAGUGAUGUUACUUCAAAUUUAUUAAUUAGUGAUCUAACUCCUUUAGAAAGCAGGAAAAUGGGGCCUUUCUCCAUAAAACACAAUGAAGGUCCAAAACCAAAUUCUCAGAAAUAUUGAAAUUUUGUUGACUAGCUCUUAUAUAUAGAAGGUAUUUUGUAUGCUCAAAAUGAUUUUAAUCUGUAUUCAUGAAGGAUAUACUUUUCAAUUUUUUUGAAGACUGAUUUUUUUAUUUUGGCUGCACCAGUGACAUGCAGAAAAUUCCCAGGCCAGGAUUGAACCCACGCCACAGCAGCAACCUAAGCUGCUGCAGGUACAAUUCUGGAUCCUUAGCCUUCCGUACCAAAAGAGAACUCUAAGAUUAAUUUUUUUGAAAUAAUGGAUCCAAAUACUAAUAUGAGCAAAACAUAGUUAUAUUUACUCAAUCAUCAAAAAAAGUACAAUUAAAAAAAAAUUUUUUUUUAGGACCACACCUGUGGCACAUGGAAGUUCCUAGGGUAGGGGUCGAAUUGGAGCUGCAACUGCCAGCCUUUGCCACAGCCACAGCAAGGCGGGAUCUGAGCCACGUCUGCGACCUACACCACAGCUCACAGCAACGCCGGAUCCUUAACUCACUGAGCAGAGCCCCCAGGGAUUGAGCUCGAAUCCUCAUGGAUAUUAGUUGGGUUCAUGUCCACUGAGCCAUGAGGGAAAUUCCAGAAAGAAAGGCAAUUUUCUGAAUAUUUUGUGUGGUUUGUUUUACUUCUUUUAUUUCUAUCCAAAAUAUCAAAGGCUAUACAAGAUCAAAUAGAAACACUUAACUGAAGAUAUUUUGCUUGGAAGAACUGACUUUUAUAUAUCUAAGGCAGAUUUUAAAUACAAAAAGUGGGUUCACAACUUUAUUUACAAGUGUGAUUAAAAUAACAUGCUGUCUGU
rnacentral:lncRNA from 1 species